CUCUGACUAUGUAAAAGGUGUGUGUUUCUUUUAAAUGAGCAAUUACCUUUAAUUAUCAAAAAUGUGGAGUUAUGAUGUCCGAUUGCAUUAUGUGCUUGGCAGUAAUAGUUUCCUCCAAGCUCAGAUGUGAUAAUGAUGGAGUAGUUCUGUCCUGAUGCUUUCACUGAGUCUUCAUGUUCCUUGAACCAGGUGUACUCAGCUGCUGGGUUGGCAUCACUGCUGCAGCUCAGAGUCACUGAACUGCCCUCCUUUAUUUCACCAGAGGGACUUGAUGACAAAAAUGUGUGUUUAGGCCCAUCUGGAGACACAUAGAAACAUGUAACAACACCAUUUAUAUUCAUGACAGUAUUAAUGAUAUUAAAAAUCACAUUGUGGCAAAGUUUGGGUUCAUAAUUAAUGCUAACACAGUUAAGACAAUUCUCUAUUGUGUUUUACUCACAUUUAACAUCAAUAGAGUUGUAGACAGAUCUUUUCCCUAUCGUAUUCUGAGCCUCACAGCGAUACUGUCCGGAGUCUGAAGACACGAUGUAGCUAAAGACGAGUAGUGGUCCCUGGUUCAUCUUUGUGGAGGAACGAUCUGCAUUAACCUUGAACCAGGUGUACUCAGCUGCUGGGUUGGCAUCACUGCUGCAGCUCAGAGUCACUCUACUGCCCUCCUCUAUUUCACCAGAGGGACUCACGGUCACUGAGGGGGUAUUUGGAGCGUCUGUUAUGAACACAAAAUCUCAC
ensembl:lncRNA